rnacentral:misc_RNA from 1 species
GGCGCGGCGCGCACGCGACCGUCGGGUCGCUCCAGCGCGCGACGAUCCAGCCGAUCGACGAGGUCCGCAGCGAGUACUACCUGAACCUCGAGGUCGCCGAUCGCCCCGGCGUGCUGCAUGCCGUGUCGGGGGUGUUCGCGCAGCACGACGUGUCGAUCCGAUCGAUGGAGCAGGAGCCGCUGGCGCACGCGUCGGACGACGGCGCCCGCCUCGUCUUCAUCACUCACGACGCGGCGGAGGCCUCGGUGCAGGCAACGCUGCACGACCUUCGCCAGCUCGAUGUCGUCCGCGCCGUGACCAGCGUGCUCCGCGUCAUCGGCGAAUAGGCGACCGGCACUCGUCAUGCGAUACGUCUCGACGCGCGGCCAGGCGCCGGCGCUCACCUUCGACGAGGUCCUCCUCACCGGUCUGGCGCGCGACGGCGGCCUCUACGUGCCCGAGACGUGGCCGCAGCUGCAGCCCGACCAGCUGCGUCGCUUCGCCAACCGCCCGUACGACGCCGUUGCCGUGGAGGUCAUGUGGCCCUACGUCGAGGGUGCCAUCGAGCGCGGUGCCUUCGAGUCGAUGGUGUUCGACGCGUACUCGACGUUCACGGACGACGACGUGUGCCCGGUGCGUCCGCUCGGCGGCGGCGUGUGGCUGCUCGAGCUGUUCCACGGUCCGACGCUGUCGUUCAAGGACGUGGCGCUGCAGCUCGUCGGUCAGCUGUUCGAGCACGAGCUGCGCAAGCGGGACGAGCGCCUCACGAUCGUCGGCGCGACGUCGGGCGACACCGGUUCGGCCGCCAUCGACGCCUGCAAGGACCGCGACACCCUCGACGUCUUCAUGCUCCAUCCCGACGGGCGCGUGUCCGAGGUGCAGCGCAAGCAGAUGACGACGGUGCUGUCGCCGAACAUCCACAACAUCGCGAUCGCCGGCACCUUCGACGACUGCCAGGACAUCGUCAAGGCGCUGUUCGCGGACCUGGCGUUCCGAGACGCCCACCACCUCUCGGCGGUGAACUCCAUCAACUGGGGCCGCAUCCCCGCCCAGGUCGUGUACUACGUGCGCACGGCCGCCGUGCUCGGUGCGCCCGACCGCCCGGUCGCGUUCGCAGUGC